GAUGAACGCUGGCGGCGUGCCUAAUACAUGCAAGUCGAGCGAACAGAUGAGGAGCUUGCUCCUCUGACGUUAGCGGCGGACGGGUGAGUAGCACGUGGAUAACCUACCUAUAAGACUGGGAUAACUUCGGGAAACCGGAGCUAAUACCGGAUAAUAUAUUGAACCGCAUGGUUCAAUAGUGAAAGACGGUUUUGCUGUCACUUAUAGAUGGAUCCGCGCCGCAUUAGCUAGUUGGUAAGGUAACGGCUUACCAAGGCAACGAUGCGUAGCCGACCUGAGAGGGUGAUCGGCCACACUGGAACUGAGACACGGUCCAGACUCCUACGGGAGGCAGCAGUAGGGAAUCUUCCGCAAUGGGCGAAAGCUUGACGGAGCAACGCCGCGUGAGUGAUGAAGGUCUUCGGAUCGUAAAACUCUGUUAUUAGGGAAGAACAAAUGUGUAAGUAACUAUGCACGUCUUGACGGUACCUAAUCAGAAAGCCACGGCUAACUACGUG
rnacentral:rRNA from 1 species